rnacentral:lncRNA from 1 species
CCUUUGCCUCUUCAGGUGCUCAAGUCCAGGGGCUCUCCUGUUCUUUUUGGUACUGACUUUCGCGUGACAAUUCAAUCAGUCUUUCGUCCCAGGCCCAUUGCUGCUCCUCGAGCUGGGUCUCCCUGCACCUCGCGUUUAGGCACCCUUUGUAGCUGCCGAACCUGCCUUCUUUCGGUGGGAGUUCGUUCUCCAACACCCAGGGGCCGCACCGCAGCCCUUGCUCACACCAAGUCUUGGUUCCUGUCUGCCUUCCAAGAAUGGGCUUUCGGCUCCUAACUUUCCGCAUUUUUCAGGAUCCAGGUAAAGACCCAUCUCCAGCAACUGCCAAACCAAUCUAGGUUCCCUGGCACUCACUCCCACACUGUUAUAACACAGACUGAGAGCAAACACUGCCUUAGUCUUUGCAGAGGGUUCCUUAUAGCAUUGGUACUGAGCCUCAAUGAAAUCAGGCAGAAGUGAGUAGUUGUCAAAUAGAGAUGAGUUUGCCUUGCUUUUUAAUUGUUUUUUUAUUUUUAGUUGUAGAUGGACACAGUACAUUUUAUUUAUUUAUUUUUAUGUGAUGCUGAGAAUCGAACCCAGUGCCUCACACGUUCUAGACGAGCACUGUACCACUGAGCCACAACCCCAGCCCAUAUGCCUUGCUUUUUGAAACUUGUGCGCUUUUGACAGUAACUCCCAGGGUACUUUCUAUCAAAUACAAAUAAAGUGAUUUAGUAAACCAUUCUAAAAGGACUUCCAAAUAUCUAGAUUUGAAGGAGCAGUAAAAUUAAAACAUACACAUUCACAGAAAGUCUGAAAUCAUAUAAAGUGGUCCAGAAAAUACAUGCCAUCUACUUAUAAGUAUCAUCUCCCAAAGCACAAAAAUUUUAACAUUAAAAAAGUAGAAGUGGGGUGGCUGGGCUUGUAGCUCAGUGGCAGAGCGCUUGCCUACCAUGUGUGAGGCACCAGGUUCAAUCCUCAGCAGCACCAUAUAAAAAUAAAAAGUAUUCUGUCCAUCUACAACAAAAAAAAAUUUAAAAAGUAGAAAUGGAAUAAUUUCAGAAUAAAGAGCAAUCCUUUAAAUGUAAUACGUUUACUUGUAUGAAGAACUCAUCCUAGUGUUCUUUUUUUUUUUAUAACCUUUUAACCUAAUGAAAAUUUCUUUAGCAAUUGUCAGAGGUCCAUGAACUAACAUGUGGGAACCAAGGCUUUAUAGCUCACUGAAAUAUGUACAUUUAAGUAUCAGUUCCCUACAUAUUGCAACAUUUUUUUAAAAAAAAUGAAAUGUUAAUGGUGGAAAUUUAACCAAAUAGGAAACACUAAAUAAGUAUACAAAAGCAGAAUUUAAACCAUUAAAAAAUUGAUGUUGGAGCAUAUAAGAAUGUAGUUCUGACUGACAUUAGGGUGACGAAUUGUGUAUUUUCCUUUUAUUUUUCUAAAAUUUAUGUUAUAGUCUUUUACUAUUAUCAGUAAAGUAAAUAUAGUACAUUGUCCACCUCUAUGGGCAACUCUUACACUGCUGCCUUGAAUUUCUUGUGUAGUCUCAAGUUUGUGAACAAAUACAUUGUUAUAGAUUGAUGAUUUUCUGGUUUACCAGAUGUCUAAGACUUGGAUUCCUUUCAUUUUUCUCUCAUUUAUUGAGCCCCUCUUAUGUCAUAGGCCUAGAUCAUCAUCCUAGGUACCAAAAUUCUAAUACAAUAGGGUCAUGUACAAUGUGAAAUUUGGUUCUAAAGUAAUAUAAAUAUCAAGAGAGUCAAAAUGUUGGACAAACAUCAAGCGUUGUUGAGAUGUGGAGUAGGAGGCUCUGUUAGAUGCUGCUGGUGUGUAAAUUGAUAGAAUCUUAAUGAAAUGAUCCAACUAGUCAGUGACCUACUAAAAUUAAGAUGAGCACACCCAACAAUCCAUCAACUGCAUGCCUAGAUAUAUAACCUGCAUAUGUUCUUAUGCACUGCAUUAGGAGGCAUAUAUAAGAGGGCCCUGGCUCUCAGCUCCUGGGGAGUAGCAGGUAGGUGGGGGCUGCCCAAAGAAAGAAGAGAGCAAUACCAAGGAGAAGGCCAACCCUUUGAUGGGGAGGGACAGCACCAGUUACAGGCGACUGAGAAAAAUCAGAGCCUUUUCAUUCAGUUAUUAAUCCCAGUCUUUAUCAGAAGGUUCUGCUUCCCUGUGUAAUGGACAGACAGGAAACCAAACUGAAAAGGAGGAGGAGGGGAGUCUCAGAUCCAGUGUGGAGAGUGCUGAGGCCUGGCUUAUUACAGCCCCCAUAGCAACGUUUUUAUAAUAACAAAAAUAAUCUAUCUGUUGAUAGGAGGAUAAAUAAGAGAGCACCAUAUGGUAAUGACAACAAGUGGAUUGCAACUACGCAUAUGACUAUGGAUGAGUUUCACCAGGUGGAGGAAAAAAAUAAGACUCCCAUAUGCAUACACAAAAUAUGACCCUAUUCACAUAAAGUUCAAAAACACGCAAGACCCAGCAAGAUGCAUAAGAGUUUAACUACUAGGUAAUAAAACCAUAAAGAAAAAUAAGAGAAUGGUAAAUAAAAAAUUCAGGAUAGUAAAUACCCCUGAGAGGCAGGGAAGGGAAAACAUGAGCAAGCACAGAGGAGGGCAGUUUUCAUGCCAGUGUUCUCUAUCUGUAGAUAUCUUGGGAUUCAUAGAUGUUUUAUUACUAUUAUUGAAACUCUACAUAUGCAUUGUGUCUGCAGUUGGACUUUCUCUCUCUCUCUCUCUCUCUCUCUCUCUCUCUCUCUCUCUCACACACACACACACACACACACACGCACACAACUUUUACGUGUAACCAGUAUACAACAUAUAAAAUAGAAUUGAUCUGUUAAAGCAAAUGUUCUGAGCUUGAAUCCCCCAUCCUGUCAACCCCCAGGCCUCUGAUGCACCUCUGUAGACUCCCUCUGGCUUUCACUGUCACUUCAAUCUCAGCCUAAGGUUCCCAACAAUCUGUGACCUGUCACCUGUAUCCUAUAGCAACAGAUCUUGUUUGCUUCCAGCAAGCCAAAUGCUGGCUCUUUAAGAUUUAAGACUUCAGUUCCCAUAGUAGAAGUGUAGUAAUUUGAUCCUUUAUGACGUUUAUACCAUCUCUUUAAUGGUAUUUUGGGGCUCAGAAUUGGUGGAGGAAGUACACAGGUAGAAUAUUAUAUUUAGUUUUUACAAAAUCUUUACUGCUUUAAAAGAGGUUAAGAAAUCGCCUUUUAAGUAGAAGGAAAACUAUGAGUUUGGUGGUGAAAUAAUACUGAUACAGACUCAUCUGGCUGUGGCUAACAAAAGAAGAUCCCACUGAUGCCCCAAUACAGGCAUUCUUAAAACCCCAUCUUCCUAGUGCUUCCUCCUCCCCUGCCCUCACCCAAAUAGUGGAAGAAGGGAGAAAGGCCCCAAAUUAAAUAAGUCCCCAAAGAAAAUGGAAGGGGAUAAGUCUCAAACCAACCUCAAAUACUUCUGAUCACUUAUUUUAUUAGUCACAGAAGUCAGUUGUUAGGCCUGAGAAGUAUACACUUGGCUUCUAUAUCUGCGGGUUUCAUAUCCAUGGAUGAAACCAACUAUAGAUCAGAAAUAGCUUUUUUUAAAAUUUCAUCUGUAUGGAACAUGAAUAUUUUUUUCUGUUAUUAUUCCUUAAUACAGUGCAACAGUUAUAGAAUUUAUAUUGUAUUAUGUAUUAUAAGUAAUCUGGAGAUGACUUAUAGGAUAUGGGAGGAUGAAUACAGGCUGUGUGCAAAUACUACAUUAUUUUAUAUAAGGGAUUUGAGCAUCCAGGUGUUUGGGUAUCCAAAGCAGGGCCUGGAUGCAAAGAGGGAUGAUCUUACAUCUGACAUGAAGUAUUUAUUUUCAUCUUCUGUCUCACCCUGACUCACACUGAAAGGGGUGGCAGGCUGUGGGUGGCAUGUAAGUUGCCAUAAUUGUUAUUUUUCCCCCAAAUUCCUUAUACCUCAUUUUCUUAUUCCUCUCUCUGCUUUAUUGCCACCUCUCAUCCCUACUCUCUUCUCCUCCAAACCAAUGUGUGUAUAGCUAAAAUACUACAUGUCGUCCUCAGAAAAUUGAUGCCCUCCAUCUUUAAAGGAUUCCUAGAAAGUGUCCCAGGAGUGGCAGAGCCUUGCGGAUCAAUAUAAAAAUCCUUAGCCCAGGAAAAAAAAAUGUACACGUCUACUGGGUUCCACAGAUAACUGGGAUCAACAGAGAGCAUAGGAUCAAAGAUGACCAAACAGGGUGGUUCAUGAAAUCAGAGUUCUCAACCAAGCCCUGCCACGGCCUCGCUCUUUGAUAUUUAAUGGUUUAAUAUUUAGCUGAUGGGCUCCCUACAUUUCUCAUUGGUGUGACCAGUGGGUUCUCAACAAUGUGGAGCCUUCGCUGGUUGAAUUGAGUUGAAUCACAUUCUUCAAAAAGUGGUUAAAUUCCAGAUGCCAUUUACCUCCUAAUGUGACCUUACUUGGAAAUAGGGUUUUUAGAGAAGCAAUCAUGUUAAAUUGAGGUAUUAGGAUGUGGCUUAAUUCAAUAUGAUGCUAGUCCUUAUUUAAAAAAUGGAAUUUGGAACAGAGGCAGACCCAUAGAGAAAACAAUAUGAAGACACGGGGAGAAGACAGCCAUCUGCCAGCUAGGGAAAGCCUAUAGCUUAUCAGAGGACAGAGGCCCAGAAAAGUCUUUCUCACAGCUUUCAAAGAAACCAACCUUGCUGACCCCUUGAUCUUGGACUUGCAUCCUCUUGAAAUGUGAGGCAAUAAAGAUUUCUGUGGUUUAAACCCCUCAGUUUAUGGAACAUUUUUACAGCCAUUCCAGGAAUAUACCUAAUGUAUUGGCUUUCAAAUGCCCACCAGCUUUUGGAUACUCCUUUCUUCUAAAGGCAGAACCAUCCCUUUUGAGAGUAAGCUGGAUUUAAUGACCUGCUUUGGAAGCAGAUAAUUAAAUGGGAGUCUUGGUGUACAACAUUGGAUUCCAAUCACAAAAGGUCCUGUGGCUUCCUGCUUUCUGUCUGUCUUUCUCAAAAGGCCCUUUCUGGGAGAACUGGGAUGUUGCAUCCUGAGACAGCCCCUGGAUAGCCCACCUACAUGAACUGAGUCUCUUGCUAACAGCCAUGCUGAUGAGCCGUCCUGGAAGUCACUCCUCCGGCCAGGCCUUUAUAUGGCUCUUGCCACAUCUUGACUGUAGCCUCAGGACAGAUCCUGCACCAGAGCCACUGAUAGGAGGCUCUUGGGCCAGAACACUCUGAGAGAUAAAUAGUAUUGUUUUAAGCCACUAAAGUGNACAAAAGUUAAUUCAAAAUGGAUCAAGGAGCUUGAUAUCAAAUCAGAGACACGCCGUCUGAUAGAAGAAAAAGUUGGCUACGAUCUACAUACUGUGGGGUCGGGCUCCAAAUUCCUCAAUAGGACACCCAUAGCACAAAAGUUAAUAACUAGAAUCAACAAAUGGGACUUACUCAAACUAAAAAGUUUUUUCUCAGCAAAAGAAACAAUAAGAGAGGUAAAUAGGGAGCCUACAUCCUGGGAACAAAUCUUUACUCCUCACACUUCAGAUAGAGCCCUAAUAUCCAGAGUAUACAAAGAACUCAAAAAAUUAGACAAUAAGAGAACAAACAACCCAAUCAACAAAUGGGCCAAGGACCUGAACAGACACUUCUCAGAGGAGGACAUACAAUCAAUCAACAAGUACAUGAAAAAAUGCUCACCAUCUCUAGCAGUCAGAGAAAUGCAAAUCAAAACCACCCUAAGAUACCAUCUCACUCCAGUAAGAUUGGCAGCCAUUCUGAAGUCAAACAACAACAAGUGCUGGCGAGGAUGUGGGGAAAAGGGUACACUUGUACAUUGCUGGUGGGACUGCAAAUUGGUGCAGCCAAUUUGGAAAGCAGUAUGGAGAUUUCUUGGAAAGCUGGGAAUGGAGCCACCAUUUGACCCAGCUAUUCCCCUUCUUGGUCUAUUCCCUAAAGACCUAAAAAGAGCAUGCUACAGGGACACUGCUACAUCGAUGUUCAUAGCAGCACAAUUCACAAUAGCAAGACUGUGGAACCAACCUAGAUGCCCUUCAAUAGACGAAUGGAUAAAAAAAAUGUGGCAUUUAUACACAAUGGAGUAUUACUCUGCAUUAAAAAAUGACAAAAUCAUAGAAUUUGCAGGGAAAUGGAUGGCAUUAGAGCAGAUUAUGCUAAGUGAAGCUAGCCAAUCCCUAAAAAACAAAUGCCAAAUGUCUUCUUUGAUAUAAGGAGAGUAACUAAGAACAGAGUAGGGACGAAGAGCAUGAGAAGAAGAUUAACAUUAAACAGGGAUGAGAGGUGGGAGGGAAAGGGAGAGAGAAGGGAAAUUGCAUGGAAAUGGAAGGAGACCCUCAGAGUUAUACAAAAGUACAUACAAGAGGAAGUGAGGGGAAAGGGAAUAAUAAUACAAGGGGGACAAAUGAAUGUCAGUAGAGGGGGCAGAGAGAGAAGAGGGGAGGGGAGGGGAGGGGAGGGGGGAUACUAGAGGAUAGGAAAGGCAGCAGAACACAACAGACACUAGUAUGGCAAUAUGUAAAUCAAUGGAUGUGUAACUGAUGUGAUUCUGCAAUCUGUAUAUGGGGUAAAAAUGGGAGUUCAUAACCCACUUGAAUCAAAGUGUGAAAUAUGAUAUAUCAAGAACUAUGUAAUGUUUUGAACAACCAACAAUAAAAAAUUAUAAAAAAAAUAAAAUGAAAUGAAACAAAAAAAAAAUUAUUCUUUAAUAUCCUUAAAUGACUCUUAAGCAUUUGCAUGACACCUUGUCUGUUUGCACGAAAAGAACAUUCCUGGCCCAUUUUCCAAGUGUUUUCUAAAAUCAAGUAUCAUAUUUGAUAUCUGAAAUUGUGUCCAAUUUCGACGAGCACAUCAUAGCCUAGUGUAUGAUUAAACUAUCUCAUCUCUUUAUGAAUAGAGUUUGCUGUGAUUAAAUUGUAAACACCUGCACGAUGCUAUUUUGACUUUAAAUUCAAAGGAACAUUUUAUCCUGGGGAAUAUAGAUUUCCUGAAAUAAGCAUAUUACUUUUUCAACCAAGUGUUACAGUUGUAUUCUUAUGACCUUUGAAGCUUCGAAAUAUAUAUGCUUAUAUGAUACAUCCAUGUUUUCCUAUCAUCUUAAUGAUAUGUCCAACACAUUUUGGAUAUAGAUUGCUGACCUCAGGGCAUCAAAUAUUCAUAUUCUUUAUAAUUUUUUAUCUAAUCAGUGCAAUAUGCUCUUUAUGUUGUCAAAAUCAAGAGCUCAAUUUAGAAAUUCAACAAGUUUGUGCAGUUUAUCUCAUUAACAUGACUUCUAGAUUUUAAAAGAUAGAUAGACACACAUGUACAUGCACACAUUGGAAAAUCAGGUCAUGAGAAAAGCUAUAGAAUUUUGGCCUUCAUGGGGUUUUUUUGGUGCUUAUUGUGAUCACACAAAUAGGAAUCAGUAUUAUAGAUGCACUCCUUGCUAGUCUUGGAGAGAGUAAUCCCAGCUAAACAGCAGACAAAACCAUUGGGUUCACAACAUUAUCUCGGUUUGGGUGGUCAGUUGUAGAAAACAGAGACAACUCUGACUAGUUUCAGUAGAAAAAGAUUCAUUACCAAAGUAUUAAUUAGCCUACAAAAUCAAUGAAAGGGAAGGUGGAUCUAGCUGUAGCUGAACUUUGGGAACACAUCCCCAAACUUCAUUGACGGAACUGGCCAAGUAGAUAUCUUGAACAGAAAUUUUCUAUCGUGUGUAAACAUGAGGUUGUAUCUAUUUAAUGAUAUUGUUAAGAUUUUUGAACAUUUUCUCUUUUAAUCAUCUUAACCUUGAGGUUAUUUUAUUUCUUUUGUAUGUGAAAUUAUCUAAGGGGUAAAAUACUUGCUAAAGUCUCACAGCAAAAAUGUUAAUUCCAAGCAAGUGUUUGAAACUUCUAUGUUAAAUUAAAGUUAAGGGAAAAAAAAUGUUUUGCCCAUUGCUCUCUAUUCCUCACAAUUUUCCCCAUGGUACCCAGUACCUGGAACCUGGAACUCAAAUGUUCAUUGAGGAAGGGAAAUUGGAAUGGAUAUCCAGGAAGCCAAUUCAGAGUUUUUUCAAUAAACAUUUCACGGGGAUAUUGCAGCAAGGGCUUAAGCAUCCAUUAGAUGGUUAGAUGAGAUGACUUGAGGUCUCUUUUGAAAAACUUUGAGGGCAAGGUCAAUGUCCUCUUUGUCUAUAUUGUAUCCUCAGCUCACUACUAUGCCUGACACAUAGGAAACAAUCAAUAAAUGCUUGGUCAAUAGAGUGAUUACAUAAAGCAUGUGUUUCUCCUAUCUCCGCCAUCUUUCAGAAGUGGACCUUCAUAUACUGUUUAUUCUCCACUUACGUUGUAUAGAUAUUUUUACUUGUAAUUGGCCAUUUGAUUUUCUGUUUCUAAAUGGAGGAUGAGUGAGUACGUACAUGCACCUUCUAUUUAGACUUUGAUACUUCAUUAACUCCGUGUAGGACUGAGCAUCACAGAACCUGUGUGGUUGUCUGAUGGGUCCAUCUCUCCUGUUUUUUCCCUUUGAGGUGCUGAUGAUUGAACUCAGGUCUCUGCACAAGUUAGGCAAGAGCUGUAACACUGAGCUACACCCAAAGCCUUAUCUCUUUAUUGUAUGGGAAAGUACCAACACAAACUUUUAACCCUGCAGAAGACACCUUCCUCCUGAGCUUAGAAAAAGUAUCUUAGCUCCUGAAGCAUGACAAAUACAGGAUGAUUAAUCUGAUAACAAUACUAUCAUGACAGUUCCCCAAACAGCGUGUCCUUGAUGUGGCUCUGUUUCUGUGAGGUGCGAAGGAUGAUAAGGAGAUCUGCUAGUUAUUUGGUAAAUGCCUCCUUCUUUUGUUACCAUUUUCAUAAUAUGGGUUUUUCUACUUAUUCAAAAAUAUUGCUUAAAGGAAUUUUUUGGUGUUUCCUCUUCUGUUUAGCUAUUUGUAGAAACCUACAUUUUAUUUUGCAUGCAGACUCAGGUCUGUAAAUUUCUAUAAAUGAAUUGUAGAAAUUAUUAUUUAAUUAAAGUACCCAAAGAUCAAUACCUUUUAGGAAUUAAAGUGAAUUCAUUGCACAUUAUGUACAACUUCAUGUUUUACUUUACAAAUUUUCAUUUGGUAAGUUUCAAUAUACAGUUUUGCUUAUUUUAAAUGCUAAAAAAGUAAGUGUUAACAAUGGAAAGGUUAUUUUAACACCAAAAUCAAAACAAAACAAAACAGUGGAACCAGGCUUGGUGUCACAUGCCUGUAGUCGCAGCGGCUUGGAAGGCUGAAGCAGUAGAAUCACAAGUUCAAGACCAGCCUUGGCAACAUAGUGAGACCCUAAGGAACUUACUUAAACCCUGCCUCAAAAUAAAAUAUAAAAAAGUUCUGGGGAUGUGGCAUCCCUGGGUUCAAUCCCCAGUACAAAAAAAAGGUGUGGGGGGGGACUCACAUAUUAAACACAAUGAUAAUUAAAUACUUGAAAAAGAAAAUGUUAUCCAGCUAGACUGGUUGUGAAAACCAAAUUACCUCAAAUUUCUUAAAUGUUCUUAAUUUUUUUCACACAUAUAUGCACACACCCACGUACGGAGUAAAUCUAACAAUCCUAAAUAACAUGAGAGAAUUGUUUUAGUAGUUUUUGAGAUACUUUUAUCACCACACACGUAAUUUGCUCUGAGUAUUGAUUUCUAGAUUUCACGAAAUGCUCCUUUGGCCAGGGAAGGAUCAGGUUUGUCCUCCAAAUUUAGAAUAAGAGGGAGGAAAUAAAAAUUUAGACAACCAGUUGGCUGAGAUGUCCCUUCCACCCUUUCAUUGGCUUUCCCUUUGUUGGCCUACUAUCCUCCCACAAAAACCUUUUUUCUCUUUGCUUAAUAUUGAUGUCUCUGUUCUUUUUCUUUAAUUGUGAUAAAAUAGAGAUAACAUAAAGUUUACUAUCUUAAACAUUAAGUGAUCAAGCCCAAUAGUGUUAAGUACAUUCUUCUUGUUUUUCAACCGUCACCACCAUCCUUUUCCAGAAUUCUUUUUGUCUUGCAAAAUCAAAAUUGAACAUUAAACAAUAACUCUCCAGUCUCUCUCCUCCCAGCCUCUGGCAAUUAUCAUUCUACUUUCUGUCUCUAUGGAUUUGACUACUUGAGGACCUUACAUAAGGAGAAUCAAACAGUAUUUGUGUUUUUGUGACUGGUUUAUUUCACUUAAUGUAACAUAUCCUCAAGGUUCAUCCAUGUUGUAGUAUGUGCAGAAUUUUCUUCCUUUUAAAGGCUGGAUAAUAUUCCAUUGUAAGUAUCUAUCAGGUUUUGCUUGUUCAUUGAUUGAUGGACCAUUGGGUUGCUUCCAUGUUUUAGAUACUAUAAAUAAUGAUGCUGUGUGAUUAAUGGCCCAGUUUGGAUAUGGAAUGUCCCUGAAAGUCCCAUGUGUUAAGACUUAGUCUUUAGUUUGGUGCUGUUGGGAGGCAACAGAACCAUUAAGAUGUGGGUCCUUGUGGGAGGUUUUCACUGGGGGCUUGCUCUUGAAGGGGAUUGUGAAACUCUGGUCUCUCUUGUUUUGCCUUUGGCCACCAUGAGAUAAGCAGCCUCUUCUACCACAUGCUUAUGCCAAAAUACAUUGCCUUGCUGCAGGCCAAAAGCAACAAGCCAACAUCCAGAACUGUGACCCAAAAUAAACCUUUUCUCUUUAUAAUCAGAUUAUCUUGUGUGUUUAAUACAGUAAUGGAAAGCUGACUAACACAAUUACUAUUUCCACAGAAUAUAUUUUUCCAGACUUUCACUGUCAACCUAUUAGUGUUUCUAGAUCUAAAGUGAUUAUUUUAUAAAUAGUAUAUCAUUGGAUCAUUUUAUUUUUAUGCAUUCUGGCAAGUUCUGCAUUUUGAUUAGAGUGUAGUCCAUUUACAUUCAAAGUAAUUACUAAUAAAGAGGGACUUCAGUCAUUUUGCUAUUUAUUUAUUGGAUUUUUUUCCCAUUUCUCACAUUGCUGUCUUUUUUUUGUUGAUUUUUUUGCAGUGAAAUAUUUAAUACCUUUAUUUCCUCUUUUGUACACUCUAUAGGUAUUUUCUUUGUGGUUCUCAUGUUUUAAUAUCCUAAAGUCAUCACACUGAUUUAAAUUUAUGCUAGGUUAACUUCAGUAACAAAUAAAGCUCUGUUCCCUCAAUGUCUUAAUCUCUACCCCCUUUCAUUUAUUAAUGUCACAAGUUAUAUCUUUUUACAUUAUUUGUACAAAAACAAAUCAACAAUUGUGAUUUUUUAUGUCUUAGUCUCUUCAAUUACAUAGAAAACAAAAUGUAGAUCUACAAACCACUCUUACAAUAAUAUCAACUUUUCAACUAAUAAUUAUUUUUUCAAAUAUUAGUCCCAAAUUAUGUAGGAAACAAACAGCAGAAUUACAAACUGGCCUUGUAAUAUGAUCUGCUUUUUAUAAUUGUUCAUGUACUUAUCUGUAUUUCUUUAUGUGACUUCAAAAACUGUCGAGUAUCCUUUAUCUUUACCUGCAGUGCUCCUUUAUCAGUUCUUAUAAGCAAAUCUGAUGAUCAUGAACUCACUCAGCUUUUGGAGAACCUGGGUAUGUCUUACUUUCAGUCUCACUUUGCUGAAUUUCAAUUGAAGGUCUUUCUUUCAGCACUUACUAGUUCACUUCAAGUUUUCUGAUGAGAAAUCUGUUCAGAGUCUUAUCAAGAAUCCUUAUAUUUGACAAAGUACUUCUAUCCUGCUGCUCUCAAGCUUCUCUUUGUAUUUGUUAUUCCACCACUUGACUAUCUGUUGUGGCAUGGUCCUGUUUGUAUUUGUCCUAUUUGGAGUUCAUUGGGCUUCUUGGACAUUUAUAUUUAUGCCUUUCAUCAAAUCUGAGAAAUUUUUGUUCAUUAUUCCUUUGAAUAAUCUCUCUCCCCCAUUCUCUUUCCUUCCUUUAAGACCCUGGUAAUUCAUAUGCUGGUGUGCUUAAGGGGGUCUUAUAGUUCCCUCAGCCUCUCUUCAUUUUUCUUUAUUCCCUUUUCUUUCUGUUGUUCAGACUUGCUCAUUUCAAUUGGCCUUUCUUCAAGUUCAUUGAUUCUUUUUGCUUUUUGCUUCUAUCGUCCUUUCGAUUCCUCUAGUGUAUUUUUCAUUUCAGUUAUUGUCCUUUUUAACUCCAGAAUUUCUUUUUAUUUUUAUUCUUAAAGGCUUUCUAUUUCCUUAUUGUUAUUUUCAUUUUGUUUAUUAUGUUAGUGUUUCAUAGUUGUGACAAAAUUUCUAAUAUAAUCAACUUACAAGGAGGAAAGUUUUAUUUUGGCCCAUGAUUUCAGCCCAUUGUUGCUUGUCCUCUUUGCCUUUGGGCCUGUGGGGGCAUAGUACAUCAUGGGGGGCAUGUGAUAGAACAAAAGCUUACCUCAUGGCAGCUAGGAAGCAAAAUAAGAGCAAAGAGUUCAUCUUCCAAUAACCCCUGCAAGGGCACACCCCCACCGACCUAACUUUCUUCCACGAGUCCCCACCUUCCUCAGGUUCCACCACCUCCCAAAUGAGCCACAGGCUGGGGAGCAAGUCUUUAGCACAUGGGCCCCUGUGGACGUUAUAGAUCCAGACCAGAACACUCAUGUAUUCUUUUCUCGUGCUUCUCCACAUCUUUCUUCAAUUCUCUGAACAUCUUUGAAACAGUUGUUAAUUCCUUGCCUGGUAGUUCUGCCAUCUGAUUUUCUUAGGGAUAAUUUUUGGUUUUGGUUUUAUAUUCCUUUGAAUGGAUCAUACUUUUCUGCAUUAAUAAGUUAUUAAUUGUAUGGACAUAUACUAUCAAACAUAUUAUAUGUUUCAUUUUAAAGAUUACAAACCAUUUUAAGAAGGACAAGUGGAAGGGGGUGGCAGGUGCAGGCACCACAUCUGGCCAGGAAGGUGCAAGAAGAAUCCCCUGAGACAGGCCAAGGAGAUGAAUGAGGAAGAUGAGGCUAUCAAGCAGAAACAAAAGAGGAGCACACGAACUUGAGGAGGUAGAAGUGAAGGCUACGCAGAAGGACCCCUGGAAUUAAGAAAUCUGGCAAAAAGAAAGCUGUUCCUGUACCUGAGAUGAUGGUGACUGAAUGGUGACAAUUCCUUCUUGAACAUUGGAAUUCCCUGCCAAAAUAUUUUUGCCACCUAUACCUACAAAGAACCAUUGUCUUGGAAUCUGUUGUAAAUUUAAGAAUAAACUUUCAUUUAAAAUAAAUAAAAACAACCACAUCUUUUUGAAAA